rnacentral:lncRNA from 1 species
CUGCAUAAGAAUUGUGUAUGCUAUUAGUUUAUCAGUUCAGCAAAGAUAUAUUUAGAGCUUUGUAUUUGAGAACUGGAAACAACUGCCAGAAAUAGGAUAGGAGCAAACCAUUGAGAAGUUCAGCUUCAGGGAGAUGGAAUCUCUUCAUCCAUGCCCACCAAGGAAUAAUGGAGGUAUCAAAGAGCACAGGUUCUUCAUUACUUGACGACUCUGGAUUAUCUUCCAACCAUUUCCUUCUCCGAACCUCUGCAAAUGAAUAGCCAUUCAAUUGUUAGUAAAUGUCAAAAAGCACAGGUUCUUCAUUACUUGACGACUCUGGAUUAUCUUCCAACCAUUUCCUUCUCCGAACCUCUGAAAAUGAAUAGCCAUUCAAUUGUUAGUAAAUGAAGCGAUUUCAUAUGAAUGCCCCAACAAGGCGGUUCUUGAAAAGGAUAUGUAGUGAUGUUUACUGCUAGGGUGCUAGCUAUACGUUAAAUCAAGCUAAGACGAUGUAUAAUUGGAAACAUCCAAUGUACGUAAAUGACAAUGAAAAAGAAUGAAAAAGUACAAGUUUUAUGGUGUAUUACACCGUCUGAUAGACUUCAUUGAUGGCUAACCAUAAGCUCAAUUCAAAGGCACAGCAACUGAAACUGAGGGAAAAAGAUCAAUACAAUACAGCUUUACUAUUAAGAGUACAACCACAUAGUUGCUGGUUUACAUCAACUUUCCACAAAAACUCCCUUGUCAUACAUUUAACAAAAAUUCAAGAUGAUGCAUCAAACAAGAAUCAAAGCAUCCUUCUCCCCCAACAACGUAAUAAAAUUAGUAAUUUAUCAAAAAAGAAAGCAUAUCAAAUCGACAAACUUUGGUCAUGCAAGAAGGCUGAAUGACA